CCUACGGGUGUCUGCAGUUUCGAAUCAUUCACAAUGGGCGAAAGCCUGAUGGUGCGACGCCGCGUGAGGGAUGAAGGUCUUCGGAUUGUAAACCUCUGUCACUGGGGAGAAAACGCUUUGAGUUAAUAGUUCAAAGCCUGAUUUAACCCGGAGAGGAAGCAGUGGCUAACUCUGUGCCAGCAGCCGCGGUACUACAGAGACUGCAAGCGUUAGUCUGAAUCGCUGGGCGGCGGUUGGGUGUGUGAGAUGUGAAAUCCCGAGGCUUAACCUCGGAACUGCGUCUGAAACUACUCGACUAGAGUACUGGAGAGGGAAACGGAAUUCACGGUGUAGCAGUGAAAUGCGUAGAUAUCGGGAGGAACACCAGAGGCGAAGGCGGUUUCCUGGACAGUUACUGACGCUCAGGCACGAAAGCAUGGGGAGCAAAAGGGAUUAGAUACCCCGGUAGUC
rnacentral:rRNA from 1 species